CCCAGCGCGCGAGGUGGAAGCAAGCACCGCUGGUGGCGGAGCUUGCAGCCAAGAAAUUCAGAGGGCAUGAUAGUCCUGUUGGUUCAUUGGCUAGUCCGGCAGGAAAAUUCGAGCUCGCGCACACCCCUUUCGAGAGCGCGCAGAAUCUGGGAAGCUCUUUGGGCUUGGGGGCCGUGAAACUGCGCUCUCUUGGGGUUUCUUAGGGCAAGGUGGGUUGGAAGUUUCUUAAGACCAUGGGUAGCCAGGUUCCUCUCGGUGUAAGGACGAGAUGCUCCUGAUUCCUUCAAUUGAGGGAUGGAUGAAGUGGAUGGGCUCCCCUUAUUUGGGGAAAGCAAGGGAAUGGGUCUCUUUCAGCUUGGAGCAAGGAGUGAAAAUAGAUUACACUCAAUUCGAAGGAAAAGGUGGGAUCAUUUACCUUUAAUUGGAGGAAGAAGAAGGACGUGCCCCUCACUCUGGGAAAAGGAUGGGAUGACAAGUUCUGCGGGGAGGUGAACUUAUUACACUCAAUUUGAGGGAAGAACUGGGUGGGUUGCCCUUCAGCUGCAAAGAAAAGUGGAAUCGGCCCUUUUCUAUUUGGGGAGAGAUAAGCUGAAAGGCCCUUCAGAUUUGGGGGAAAAGGUGGGUAGGUCCCUCUUAGUUUGAAGGGAAUCGAUAGGGUGCGGUUUCCACAGUUUAGGGAAGAUCCCCUAAAAGAUAACGUUUGCUUCAUUGAGUCUCAUGGAAAAAGUGAGACGAGUUCACUGUAUUCUAAAGGAAAGGGAGGCCGAGUGCCCCUCGGUUUGGUAAAUGAAGAGAAACAACCUCUUUCUUAGCUUGGAAUGGGAUGGGCCCAAUCUGGGCCUUGGGGUUUCUGGGGACGGCGGGGACAGUUGUCCCUCUCGGCUUUCUAUUAGAGCCCAGUGCGCGUGCGCAGCUCUGGUGCGGGCGGGGGCGCGAAGGGUCUCAAGCUUCUGAGGGCUGCGCGGAAGUCGGUGGCGCACUGCCCCCUGCAGUCUGCACGGGGCAUGCCGGGGCCCGCGGCCUCAUUACCCAGGGUCGGCUGCUUACAGCCGGCGGGCACUCCAGUGGCAGUGCCGCAUUCCUCCCGCCUGGACCCCGGUCCCUGGCAGACCCCGUCACCCUCGCCUCCGGCCAGUUCUACGCAACGGUGUCCCUAGAGGACUGUGGCCGCUCACGGCUCUGAAUCCGGGUCGGGGGAGGUUUAGAGAAGGUUUGGGGGAGCGGACUCGAUGGAAUAGGUUGCAGGACUUAGGGGAAGGCUGCGCCGGGGAAUUUCCAGAGCCGAGACAGAUUUAGAGCGGAGGAGCAAGGGUCCAGACUGCCGACGCUCAGGGCAGGGGCUCCGAGUCCGGACCUGGCUUGGGGGAAUCGGAACUAGGAUUGGGGGCAGCGGGCCCCACGUGCUCGUGACGCGGGGGCGGUCGGUAGGCGGUGGCGGCGACGCGAGGCCGGCGGCCGUGGGGCGCCGGGAGGGGUGCUAGGUUGGCGGCAGGAUGUUGCGCGUCGCACUGCCGCUGCUCGGGCUGCCCCUGGCGGGGGCGGGAACAACCGAAGAGCCCACCCUGGAGCUGGGGUCGCCGGGUGAGCCUCCCCCGGGAUUGGCGCUCUUCCGCUGGCAGUGGCAUGAGGUGGAGGCGCCCUACCUGGUAGCCCUGUGGAUCCUGGUGGCCAGCCUGGCUAAGAUCGUGUUUCACCUGUCUCGGAAGGUGACAUCUCUGGUCCCUGAGAGCUGCCUGCUGAUUUUGCUGGGACUGGUGCUUGGGGGCAUUGUCUUGGCUGUGGCCAAGAAAGCUGAGUAUCAGCUGGAGCCAGGCACCUUCUUCCUCUUCCUGUUGCCCCCUAUUGUGCUGGACUCAGGCUAUUUCAUGCCCAGCAGGCUGUUCUUUGACAACUUGGGUGCCAUCCUUACCUAUGCCGUAGUGGGCACACUCUGGAAUGCCUUCACAACAGGUGCUGCCCUCUGGGGCCUGCAGCAGGCUGGACUUGUGGCCCCUAGAGUGCAGGCUGGCUUGCUGGACUUCCUGCUGUUCGGGAGCCUCAUCUCAGCAGUGGACCCUGUGGCUGUGCUGGCUGUGUUUGAGGAGGUGCACGUCAACGAGACCCUCUUUAUCAUUGUCUUUGGCGAGUCCCUGCUCAAUGAUGCAGUCACCGUGGUGCUGUACAAGGUCUGCAACUCCUUUGUGGAGAUGGGCUCUGCCAACGUGCAGGCCACUGACUACCUGAAGGGAGUCGCCUCCUUGUUUGUGGUCAGUCUGGGCGGGGCAGCUGUGGGCUUAGUCUUUGCCUUCCUCCUGGCCCUGACCACACGCUUCACCAAGCGGGUCCGCAUCAUCGAGCCACUGCUGGUCUUCCUCCUCGCCUACGCAGCCUACCUCACUGCUGAAAUGGCCUCACUCUCCGCCAUUCUUGCGGUGACUAUGUGUGGCCUGGGCUGUAAGAAGUACGUGGAGGCCAACAUCUCCCAUAAGUCCCGCACAGCUGUCAAGUACACAAUGAAGACUCUAGCCAGCUGCGCCGAGACCGUCAUCUUCAUGCUGCUUGGCAUCUCGGCUGUGGACUCUUCCAAGUGGGCCUGGGACUCUGGGCUGGUGCUGGGCACCCUCUUCUUCAUCCUGUUCUUCCGAGCCCUCGGCGUAGUCCUGCAGACGUGGGUGCUGAAUCAGUUCCGGCUGGUCCCUCUGGACAAGAUCGAUCAGGUGGUGAUGUCCUACGGGGGCCUGCGAGGGGCUGUGGCCUUCGCUCUCGUCAUUCUCCUGGACAGGACUAAGGUCCCUGCCAAAGACUACUUUGUGGCCACCACUAUUGUGGUGGUCUUCUUCACAGUCAUUGUGCAGGGCCUGACCAUCAAGCCACUGGUCAAGUGGCUAAAGGUGAAGAGGAGUGAGCAUCAUAAACCUACCCUGAAUCAGGAGCUGCAUGAGCACACUUUUGACCACAUUCUGGCUGCAGUGGAGGACGUUGUGGGGCACCAUGGCUAUCACUACUGGAGGGACAGGUGGGAGCAGUUUGACAAGAAGUACCUGAGUCAGCUGUUGAUGCGGCGGUCAGCCUACCGCAUCCGGGACCAGAUCUGGGAUGUGUAUUACAGACUCAACAUCCGGGAUGCCAUCAGCUUCGUGGACCAGGGAGGUCACGUCUUGUCCUCUACUGGGCUCACUCUGCCCUCAAUGCCCAGCCGCAAUUCUGUGGCCGAGACUUCUGUCACCAACCUACUGAGGGAAAGUGGCAGUGGAGCAUGUCUGGAUCUGCAGGUGAUUGACACAGUGCGCAGCGGCCGGGACCGUGAGGAUGCUGUGAUGCACCACCUGCUCUGUGGAGGCCUCUACAAACCACGCCGCAGGCCCAUCAUUCCAUCGUUUGGAUCCCAUGUCUGCUACCAAACAUCUCCUCAGAUUCACAUCACAUGAAAAUAUGAUAAGCCUGUUAACUUUGUAUUCAUCCAAAUCAACAUAAAAAUGUUGAACAGGAUAGAGCUGAGGACAGAGCCCUGUGGCAUGCUACUAAAGACUUUCCUCCAGACUGACAUGGAUCAAGCAUUUUUUGGUACAAAGCAGCUGCAGCCGCCACUUCAUCUCUGAGGAUGCACAGGAGCGCCAGGACAAGGAGGUCUUCCAGCAGAACAUGAAGCGGCGGCUAGAGACCUUUAAGUCCACCAAGCACAGCAUCUGCUUCGCCAAAAGCAAGCCACGACCUCGCAAGGCUGGCCACAAGAAGAAGGAUGGCGUGGCUAACACUGAGGCUGCAAAUGGGAAAUCUCCUCGAGCCCUGGGUUUCCAGGACACAGGCAAGCAGGGAGUGGGGGUGGGACUGAGGAUGGAAUAAGGAGUGGAAGGGCAGGGGCCUAUCUGCCAGAAUCCUGAAGGACUUCCUCUGCCUGGCAUUCAACGCCAUGACGUGGGGCUCUUCCCCUCAGGGAUUAGCUGGGUACUCUUGAUUCAAAGCUGGACCUGUUCCAAGCAGUUAUUAUGCAUCCGUGACAGGAGGCAUCUGAUAGUUUAACCACAGGUUGUGUGCCCUGAGGAUUUGGGGAAGGUGUCCUAAAAGGGGAGCUUGGUCUGGAGACCUUGAAGGAUGGGUGGACACUGGAGUUGAGUGUCCUUGUCUCUAAAACCAAGAGUUUGGACAAGCUACAUACUGAUGGGCCUUCCAGCUCCCGAGAUUUUUACGCUUCCAGUUGAUGAUGGGAUCUGUGGCUGAGAGAAGAUGGGGGAGCUAGAAAGUGUGACUUCCCAAACUGGCUUCCUCUGAGGACCCAGCUUGUCCUGCUGCCUUCCUGGGCUCUGCAGCCCCACGUCCCUUCCUCUCAAGCCCCUAAACUCCAUAGGCCAGUGCUGUAAUAGCACAGGGCGAAGCAGGUGCCUCUGCCAACUGUGGGCUCUGCCUGGGUAGACAGGAGGUCCAGCCUAGGGUUGUGCAGUACCAAGAGGCAGCUGCUGGGCUGGCCACCCCCACUCCACUCUUAUCCCUGUCUAGCUGCUGUGAUCUUAACUGUGGAGUCUGAGGAGGAGGAGGAGAGCGACAGUUCAGAGACAGAGAAGGAGGACGACGAGGGGAUCAUCUUUGUGGCUCGGGCCACCAGCGAGGUUCUCCAAGAAGGCAAGGUCUCAGGGAGCCUUGAAGUAUGCCCAAGCCCACGCAUCAUCCCUCCCUCCCCAACCUGUGCAGAGAAGGAGCUACCCUGGAAGAGUGGGCAGGGGGACCUGGCAGUCUAUGUUUCCUCAGAAACGACGAAGAUUGUUCCUGUGGACAUGCAGACAGGCUGGAACCAGAGCAUCUCGUCCCUGGAGAGCUUGGCAUCCCCGCCCUGUACCCAGGCCCCAACUAUGAGCCGCCUGCCUCCCUAUCCACUGGCUGCUGAAGAGCCCCGGGCCCCUCUCGACCUGCCUCCCGACCCUCGGCCUAGCUUUGCCUUUCCCCCAAGCUUGGCCAAGGCUGGCCGCUCUCGCAGUGAAAGCAGCGCUGACAUCCCCCGGCAACAGGAGCUGCAGCCCCUCAUGGGACACGAGGACCGCACCCAUCUUAGCCCAGGCACUGCCAACUCCCACUGGUGCAUCCAGUUCAGCAGAAGUGGCCGGCUGUAGCCCAGGGACUCAGGGAGAAGCAGGGGGCCAGCACUCUCACGUGAAGUCUUCUCUGCACAACGGGCAGAGGAGCCCACUCAGCUUGACAUGGGGUUAGAGGGACCUGGAAUGAAGAGGCAACUGGGCUCCCUUGGGGAAGGUCAGAAGGGUCUCCUGAGCUGGUCCUCACAGGGACCCUUUCCACCACCCUCUCCACCACCCUCCCUGCUCUUAACUCUUGCUACCGUCCCUUUCGGUAAGGCCCGUGUACUAGCACAAGACCCAGUCCAAAGCGUGUAAGGGGCUAGGCCCAGAGAUGUGGGUAGCAGAUGCCCCUUUCCCAGUGGGUCCUCCUGGGGUCACUCCAGGCAGCUGUUCUUGCCCCCAAAGCAAGGGCAUCAUUCCUCAGCUGACAGUGGCCUGCGUGCCCUCCACCCUUUCCCUAGCACCAGUUCAAGGACAGUGUCCUGGCAGCGCGGCUCCAUGAGGAGCUGGUCCUCAGAGGGAUUGGGAUGGGAGGUGCAGCAGGCUUUGCUGCCCUGUUGGGUCAGCCACCCACAGCCUAUUUGUUUAGGGCAGUGGGAAUCUGUCUCCACCCCUUGCUUUACCUUCUCCCCUUGCUGCCAGCCAGUGGGGCAACAGUUCCUCCUUUUCCAGGACUAUGGCCACAGGCCGGGGCCAAGCUUCAGAUCAGGGCUGCUUCUUAGCUGGGGUCACUCUGGGGAAUCUGCUGCUCUGCAUCCAAGUGUGGAUCUUUCAGAUCCUUGGCUCUGGGUUUUCUGAGGAGGGGAGACAGUGACUUCAGGGUUCCCACACAUCACCUCAUUAUUUCCUAAACAGCAAAGCAGCCAAGUAUCCCAGGGCCACUACUCCAUUGCUCUGGGGGCUGGGAUGCCUGGCUGCAGAAGUAGGGAGGCUACUGAGUGGCUGGUGACUUUCCUGGGGUUAGCACCUGCCCUGUGUUUUGUACCUUCAGCCUAAGACACAUUAAACAUCUCUCAAAUGGA